GACAAAGGCGGGGCCGUGUGCAAACAGCUUUCCACCUGCAUUCCUUCGCUCAGGCUGCUGUAACCAGUAUCACAGACAGGAGCAAAACUAAAAACCUGUGUCAGCGAGUCACUCACUGCUGCCGUGUCCCCCAGCUCGUUGAUCUCAGGUUGACCCAGAAGCUCAGCGUCACUGCGAGGAGACAGGCUCUGGGAGGAUGUGCGUGAGCUGCACGACCUUGAGCAAGCAGAUGAAGCUCCCUGAGCCUCGGUUUCCUCAUCCGUGGAAUGGAGAGAAUGCGCUACUGACUUCACGAGGCUUAAAAGAUGAUGCACCCCCAGGGCCUGGCACACGGGCAACGCACGUUACACAGCGGCACCUCUCCUCAUCACUCAACCAGUGAGGCGACUUCUCUCCCUGCGUGUCCCCCCACCCCGGGCUGGGCUUGGCUCAGGAGUGGGGGAGCAGGGGGUCCUCUGGGCUCAGCCUAAUGGGGGAUCCUGGGCUGGCUGGGGUUGAUGCAGGAACCCAAAUAGGACAUGAAAAGAGAGAAAGGUGACCUAGGGGACUGUUUCUCAAACUUGUUUUUACUGCCCCCACGGCGAGAAAGACAUCUUGCCCUGUGAUUCCACAUAAACGUGCAUAUAUGCGUAAAAUGGAAACGAAAGUUCCGUGAAACAGUACUCACUCUCACUGGGCGUGAUGCAGUCUGUUUUCUGUUCUCUUUCAUUUCACUAAAAAUGUUAAGUGCUGCUCACAACCCAAACACAAAAAAGAUAACCAGCUAACGUGAAGCGCCGGCCCCGGGGCUGGCCGGAAUGCAGUCCAUGGUUGGGCUCACAGAGGGUUCAUUCUGGCCUUUUCGAGAACGGCUCAGGGAGGGGAAGACUGGCUGGUGAGGAUGCCCAUCGCCAUGUGACUGUCCUCUUCAGGUCCUCACAGGGCCACCCAGAGGCCUGGCAAGGAAACCCAAGAGGCAGAUGCUCCCGAGAGGCUGCUCUGACCCUCUCCAGGGGGACCCUCUCCAGGGGGACCUUCCUGCCCAGCAGAGCCACCCACAGGGGACCAUGGAAGAUCAUAUUCAGACAGAGACCAGAUGGCCACUAAGCGGACAGCCUCACUGUGUGUAUCUGGCCUGGGAAGGACCAAGGAACCUUGGGGACCCGAGAGAGGCAAUAUAGCAUAGUGGUUAGCACAGAGUCUUUACUGCCAGGUUGCCUGGGUCCAAAUCCUGCUUCCAUUACCUCUCAGCUAUACGGCCACGGGCAAACUACUUAACCUCUUUGUGCCUCAGUUUCCUCCUCUGUAAAAUGGGGAGGAUAAUUCCUCAAAGGGUUCGCACGUGUCACCCAGAACAGUCCCAGGCACUACUGUCAUUUUUAUUGCUCAGUCAGAUGAAGGCGCUUACUGGCUGGAGGCCAGCCGGGUGGGGUGCCAACAUAUCCCAUACAGGACCUGUGGGUCGAGCUUUCUAUCUCCCUGGCCCCCAUGUCAGUGAACCAGGUUGUUCUUGAGACCUGUGGGCUGGGAGUGCUGCUGCUCACCCAGAGGGGCCCUCCCAGACAGCAUGGACCACCGUCCACCUCACUGCUGGCCUCUGCAGGAGUUCCCUGCCCUGGAAACUUGCCCUGCCUGAUGCCCCCAACACACGCUGGUCCAGGGGAGUAGGG
rnacentral:lncRNA from 1 species